rnacentral:miRNA from 1 species
UCUGACCCUGGCCCCUGACCCU